rnacentral:rRNA from 1 species
UACGUAGGGUGCGAGCGUUAAUCGGAAUUACUGGGCGUAAAGCGUGCGCAGGCGGUUCGUUAAGUCAGUUGUGAAAGCCCCGGGCUCAACCUGGGAAUUGCGGUUGAAACUGGCGAACUAGAAUCUGGCAGAGGGGGGUGGAAUUCCACGUGUAGCAGUGAAAUGCGUAGAGAUGUGGAGGAACACCGAUGGCGAAGGCAGCCCCCUGGGCUGAGAUUGACGCUCAGGCACGAAAGCGUGGGGAGCAAACAGG